rnacentral:pre_miRNA from 1 species
UGUUAAAAAUUUCAUCUAUUUUUAUUGUUAAAAACUUACGUAAUUGACGAAAGAACUAGACAGUUACACAUGGUGUGUCACGUACAAAGAUUUGUUUUUUAUAAUAAAAAUGAAUGAAUUUUUAACA